rnacentral:rRNA from 1 species
CCUACGUGAGGUAGCAGUGAGGAAUAUUGGUCAAUGGGCGCGAGCCUGAACCAGCCAAGUAGCGUGAAGGAUGACUGCCCUACGGGUUGUAAACUUCUUUUAUAAAGGAAUAAAGUGAGGCACGUGUGCCUUUUUGUAUGUACUUUAUGAAUAAGGAUCGGCUAACUCCGUGCCAGCAGCCGCGGUAAUACGGAGGAUCCGAGCGUUAUCCGGAUUUAUUGGGUUUAAAGGGAGCGUAGAUGGGUUGUUAAGUCAGUUGUGAAAGUUUGCGGCUCAACCGUAAAAUUGCAAUUGAUACUGGCAGUCUUGAGUACAGUUGAGGUAGGCGGAAUUCGUGGUGUAGCGGUGAAAUGCUUAGAUAUCACGAAGAACUCCGAUUGCGAAGGCAGCUUACUAAACUGCCACUGACAUUGAUGCUCGAAAGUGUGGGUAUCAAACAGGAUUAGAUACCCCAGUAGUC